rnacentral:lncRNA from 1 species
GCCUCCUCAAUUAACAGGUCUCUGACUGUCCUGCAUUGGCCUCUGUUGUUUUGGGCCUUUUUGAUGUUAUCCAUGUCAACUUUAUGAUACUACAACAAUUCACAAUUCAAAAUUACUUUCAUGGAGUUAAAAAGUUCUUUGAGCAUUUUCAAUAAGUUGCAAUUUUAUUUGGCUCCAAUAAUGCAUAUGCAAAUGAUGAUAAACUUAAACAAGAAUGUGUCCAUAGUACACGGAUGCCCCACUCGCACUAUCAUUUUACAUGUUCACUGGACCGUGAAAUUGGGGUCAAUACUUUAAUUUGGCAUUAAAAUUAGAAAGAUCAUAUCAUAGUUAACAUGUGUACUAAGUUUCAAGUUGAUUGGACUUCAACUUCAUCAAAAACUACCUUGACCAAAAACUUUAACCUGAGCUUCACACUAUCUUCUUUGUUCAGUGGACCAUGAAAUUUGGGUCAAUACUUUAAUUUGACAUUAAAAUUAGUAAGAUCAUAUCAUAAGGAACAUGUAUACUAAGUUUCAAGUUGAUUGGACUUCAACUUCAUCAAAAACUACCUCGACCAAAAACUUUAACCUGAAGCGGGACGAACGAACGAACGGAGGCACAGACCAGAAAACAUAAUGCCCCUCUACUAUCGUA